UUUAUUGAGGAUGGAGUUUUUGGUUUUGUUUUGUUUCCUUUUCUAAAAAAGGAUGAAAACACACCCUUUCCUUAGGCGUCCCGUGUCCCCCUUUUCCUCCUCCCUGGUUGCCGCGUCCUUGGCUGGCGUCAGAAAAAUGGCUACAAACUUUCUAGUACAUGAGAAGAUCUGGUUCGACAAGUUCAAAUAUGGAGAUGCAGAAAGGAGAUUCUACGAACAGAUGAACGGGCCUGUGGCCGGCACCUCCCGCCAGAGCUCAGGCCCGGGGGCGUCUAGCGGCCCCAGCGGAGACCACACCGAGCUCGUCGUCUGGAUCGCCAGUCUGGAAGUGGACAACCAGAGAGACCCGGCUGAACGUGCUGGAGAAGAGCUUGCCCGGCCACCGGGCCACAGCCCCGCAGACCCAGCCCAUGUCUCCCAUGCGCCAAGUGGAGUCCCCGGCCAAGAAGCCAGCCACACCAGCAGAGGAUGACGAGGACGAUGACAUUGACCUGUUUGGCAGCGACAAUGAGGCAGCACAGCUGCAGCAGUACCAAUGAGGCGCGGCUGCGGCAGUACGCAGAGAAGGCCAAGAAGCCCGCGCUGGUGGCCAAGCCCUCCAUCCUGCUGGACUUCAAGCCUUGGGACGAUGAGACGGAUAUGGCCCACCUGGAGGCCUGUGUGCGCUUCGUGCAGCUGGACGGGCUGGUGCGGGGGGCCUCCAAGCUGGUGCCCGUGGGCUACGGUAUCUGGAAGCUGCAGAUUCAGCGUGUGGUGGAGGACAAGGUGGGGACAGACUUGCUGGAGGAGGAGAUCACCAAGUUUGAAGAGCAUGUGCAGAGUGUCGACAUCGCAGCUUUCAACAAGAUCUGAAGCCUGAGUGUGUGUGUGUGCACGCGUGCGUGAGGCCCUGCCACAAUUAAAAACUGAGACCGGCAAAAAAAAAAAA